GCCCUGGAGCUUUAUCCAAAUUCAUAUCUUCUAUAGUAUCUUCAAUCUCUUCCUUUGAUACUUGCUUAGUCAAAUAGUCAUUCUAUUCCUCAGUUACUACUACCUAUAUAAUUGGAAAAUCCAUUCCUUCCACAUUCAAUUGACUAGUCCACCUUUCUUGGAAAUGUGCCAAAAAAGUCCCGCUAAUAUCUUCUAGAUUUUUAGUGUGCAUACCCUAUU
rnacentral:lncRNA from 1 species